GACGAACGCUGGCGGCGUGCUUAACACAUGCAAGUCGAGCGGUAAGGCCCUUUCGGGGGUACACGAGCGGCGAACGGGUGAGUAACACGUGGGUGACCUGCCCUCAGCUCUGGGAUAAGCCUGGGAAACCGGGUCUAAUACUGGAUAUGACUCCAUGACGCAUGUUGUGGGGUGGAAAGCCUUGUGCGGCUGAGGAUGGGCCCGCGGCCUAUCAGCUUGUUGGUGGGGUGANGGCCUACCAAGGCGACGACGGGUAGCCGGCCUGAGAGGGCGACCGGCCACACUGGGACUGAGACACGGCCCAGACUCCUACGGGAGGCAGCAGUGGGGAAUCUUGCGCAAUGGGCGAAAGCCUGACGCAGCGACGCCGCGUGAGGGAUGACGGCCUCGGUUGUAAG
rnacentral:rRNA from 1 species